UACGUAGGGACCAAGCGUUGUUCGGAUUUACUGGGCGUAAGGGCGCGUAGGCGGCUUGUCAAGUCACUUGUGAAAUCUCUGGGCUUAACCCAGAACGGCCAAGUGAAACUGACAUGCUAGAGUGCAGAAGGGGCAAUCGGAAUUCUUGGUGUAGCGGUGAAAUGCGUAGAUAUCAAGAGGAACACCUGAGGUGAAGACGGGUUGCUGGGCUGACACUGACGCUGAGGCGCGAAAGCCAGGGGAGCAAACGGG
rnacentral:rRNA from 1 species